UAUCACGUUGAGACACCGGUUCUCGUACGAUCACGAAAGUUAAGCAAUUUCGAGCCUGGUCAGUACCCAGAUGGGUGACCACUUUCGAAAACCAGGUACUA